GACGAACGCUGGCGGCGUGCCUAAUACAUGCAAGUCGAACGAACUCUGGUAUUGAUUGGUGCUUGCAUCAUGAUUUACAUUUGAGUGAGUGGCGAACUGGUGAGUAACACGUGGGAAACCUGCCCAGAAGCGGGGGAUAACACCUGGAAACAGAUGCUAAUACCGCAUAACAACUUGGACCGCAUGGUCCGAGUUUGAAAGAUGGCUUCGGCUAUCACUUUUGGAUGGUCCCGCGGCGUAUUAGCUAGAUGGUGAGGUAACGGCUCACCAUGGCAAUGAUACGUAGCCGACCUGAGAGGGUAAUCGGCCACAUUGGGACUGAGACACGGCCCAAACUCCUACGGGAGGCAGCAGUAGGGAAUCUUCCACAAUGGACGAAAGUCUGAUGGAGCAACGCCGCGUGAGUGAAGAAGGGUUUCGGCUCGUAAAACUCUGUUGUUAAAGAAGAACAUAUCUGAGAGUAACUGUUCAGGUAUUGACGGUAUUUAACCAGAAAGCCACGGCUAACUACGUGCCAGCAGCCGCGGUAAUACGUAGGUGGCAAGCGUUGUCCGGAUUUAUUGGGCGUAAAGCGAGCGCAGGCGGUUUUUUAAGUCUGAUGUGAAAGCCUUCGGCUCAACCGAAGAAGUGCAUCGGAAACUGGGAAACUUGAGUGCAGAAGAGGACAGUGGAACUCCAUGUGUAGCGGUGAAAUGCGUAGAUAUAUGGAAGAACACCAGUGGCGAAAGCGGCUGUCUGGUCUGUAACUGACGCUGAGGCUCGAAAGUAUGGGUAGCAAACAGGAUUAGAUACCCUGGUAGUCCAUACCGUAAACGAUGAAUGCUAAGUGUUGGAGGGUUUCCGCCCUUCAGUGCUGCAGCUAACGCAUUAAGCAUUCCGCCUGGGGAGUACGGCCGCAAGGCUGAAACUCAAAGGAAUUGACGGGGGCCCGCACAAGCGGUGGAGCAUGUGGUUUAAUUCGAAGCUACGCGAAGAACCUUACCAGGUCUUGACAUACUAUGCAAAUCUAAGAGAUUAGACGUUCCCUUCGGGGACAUGGAUACAGGUGGUGCAUGGUUGUCGUCAGCUCGUGUCGUGAGAUGUUGGGUUAAGUCCCGCAACGAGCGCAACCCUUAUUAUCAGUUGCCAGCAUUAAGUUGGGCACUCUGGUGAGACUGCCGGUGACAAACCGGAGGAAGGUGGGGAUGACGUCAAAUCAUCAUGCCCCUUAUGACCUGGGCUACACACGUGCUACAAUGGAUGGUACAACGAGUUGCGAACUCGCGAGAGUAAGCUAAUCUCUUAAAACCAUUCUCAGUUCGGAUUGUAGGCUGCAACUCGCCUACAUGAAGUCGGAAUCGCUAGUAAUCGCGGAUCAGCAUGCCGCGGUGAAUACGUUCCCGGGCCUUGUACACACCGCCCGUCACACCAUGAGAGUUUGUAACACCCAAAGUCGGUGGGGUAACCUUUUAGGAACCAGCCGCCUAAGGUGGGACAGAUGAUUAGGGUG
rnacentral:rRNA from 2 species